GUGAACGCUGGCGGUAGGCCUAACACAUGCAAGUCGAACGGCAGCACAGUAAGAGCUUGCUCUUACGGGUGGCGAGUGGCGGACGGGUGAGGAAUACAUCGGAAUCUACUUUUUCGUGGGGGAUAACGUAGGGAAACUUACGCUAAUACCGCAUACGACCUACGGGUGAAAGCAGGGGAUCUUCGGACCUUGCGCGAUUGAAUGAGCCGAUGUCGGAUUAGCUAGUUGGCGGGGUAAAGGCCCACCAAGGCGACGAUCCGUAGCUGGUCUGAGAGGAUGAUCAGCCACACUGGAACUGAGACACGGUCCAGACUCCUACGGGAGGCAGCAGUGGGGAAUAUUGGACAAUGGGCGCAAGCCUGAUCCAGCCAUACCGCGUGGGUGAAGAAGGCAUUCGGGUUGUAAAGCCCUUUUGUUGGGAAAGAAAAGCAGCAGGUUAAUACCCCGCUGUUCUGACGGUACCCAAAGAAUAAGCACCGGCUAACUUCGUG
rnacentral:rRNA from 1 species